rnacentral:lncRNA from 1 species
GCUUGAGUCCAGACACUAAAAACUCGAUGUUUCUCCUGUGAAUUGUUCAAGAUUCCGGUGACACCCCCCCUUGCAUAUGAAUCUGAGACAGAGUAGAUAAUAGAUGCAUGGUUGUCCGUUCUCCAUUGGCAGAACCUUUCUUUCUUUUUAUGGUCAAAGAGAGCCCACAAUGCUUCCUCUCAACGAGGACCCCACAGGGGCCACACAAUGCUUCCUCCUCCUCCUCCUCCUCAUUUUCUCUCUCUAAGAAUGAAGUCGCAGAUCUUAUCUUGUGCUCAAAUCUACCAUCCUUUUGCACUUGCACCGGGAAAGGAAAGGGAUGGUUUUUCUUUUCUUCUUCUUUCUUUU